AUUCCAGCUCCAAUAGCGUAUAUUAAUGUUGUUGCAGUUAAAAAGCUCGUAGUUGAAUUUCUGGUUAAAAUCUUAGCUGGCUUUGGUCGUUAAUGUUUUAAUCAUCCGUUAGAGAACUAUAACCGUCCUUAACUGGUCAUUAUAGAGAUCUAACAUUUUACUUUGAAAAAAUUAGAGUGUUCAAGGCAGGCAAUCGUCAUGAAUACUAUAGCAUGGAAUAAUGGAAUAGGACUUUGGUUCAUUUUAUUGGUUAUUGAACCUUAGUAAUGAUUAACAGGGACAGUCAGGGGCACUCGUAUUCCGCCGAGAGAGGUGAAAUUCUCAGACCAGCGGAAGACGAACCACUGCGAAAGCAUUGCCAGGGAUGUUUUCAUUA
rnacentral:rRNA from 1 species